CGAAACCUAGAACAUAUGCUGCUGAGAUGAACGAAGAGUCUAGUAAAUAGAUGAUCUAAGAGAUCCCCAAAUGUUCAAAAUUCCUGAUAGAAAAAUACAUUCUGUCUUUGAAGAAGAAGAAUAUUACAUUUGUAUCAUACGACAAGGCCCCUGGAUAUAAAAAGACACAAUAGUGCAGACAUUUUCAAAUUAUUGAAUUUCGACUACUUAUCCUUCAAUUUAUAAUAAAUGAUAACACAGUACAAUUUCGGUUCCUAUAUUUUUAUAAAAUAUAUUGAUAUAGGGUAGAGCGGGGUUAGUUGAGCAUAGGGGCAAGUUGGGCAAUCGAAAUAUCUCGGAAACUAUUCAUCUUACGCGGAAGUAUCAAAUAGCGAAAAGAAGGAGUCGUAGGAGGGGUAAUCAUCGCACGAUAGCUAGUGGCAGCUCGACGAGUGAGUGAAGUGUCACGGCGUUUUGUUUAUUUUGUGACCAAAAAGUAAAAACAUUGUUUAUCGCAAGUUUUCGUCUGUCUUUGUCAAAUGUUCUCUGUUUCCAAUCAGGACAGUGUUAAUCUUCCAGAAGAUUAUUGUAUUUUUGAUUUGUAAAUAGGAUUUGGGUCUAAUUCUAGGCAUUUUUUUACAAUCCCACUUUUCUUUUAAAAUUCCGGGUUGGGGUAAGUUGAGCAACUAUAGCUCAACUAACUCCACGACUUAAAAAACUAAUGAGUAAUGACUCUUUUAUUUUUGUUUGGAUGCUUACAAGAGGAGGAGAUGUUCUUACACUACUGAAUACUUAAAUAAUGCUGCAAAGGCUGUCCACGAUGAGGGGAAAAGUGUGAAUACCGCCGCUAAAGAAUUCGGUAUUGGUUGACUUUUAAAUAAAUUAAAUGAAGGUGAUGAUUCAUUUAUGGGCUAUACAACACCGAGGGAAGUAUAUCCUCCCUCACAGAAGGACUGUUUGAAAAAAUACUUGCUACAAAUGGAAUUUUUCUCCAAAAGACGACCAUCGCCUUACCUAAGAGUGUGCUGCUAAAUUUGGCAUUGAAAUUCCACCCAACUGAAUUGCAAAUAAGAUGGCCGGAAAAUAAUGGUUGAUGAUGUUUUUAAAACAAAAAAAUCGUAGCUAUCCAUACAAAAACCCGAACCCACCAGCCUUGGUAAUCUUUUUUAGAAAUUAUCGGAAGUAAUGGAUAGAUAUGGAUGCUCAUGUUUUGUUGAUUCUAGUUUCGGUUAUACAAAGAAAAUUUUGUUGUUCUCUCAAUAAAAUACUAUAAAUAAAAAGCUGACUGUCUAAUACAUAUUUUACUACAUCUCAAGUUAAGAUAGAACCCAUGGUUUGGCCUAGACAUUCUUAGUGCUCAACUUGCCCCAUACCCUUGCUCAACUUACCCCACCUAUGGGGUACAUUGAGCAUACUUGACUUUCUGCAUUUAAACAUCUGUAGCUAUUAUAUUGGACUUGUUACAAAAAAAUACUAUGGACACUUUUGUUAAGGGAUAAAUUACUAAUCCAUCAGGACACAUAACAACUCAUUGAGACUUAUCAUUGAGGAGCUAUAUCCAAGCAAGUGAAAAAUUGCUCAACUAGCCCCGCCCUACCCUAC